AGGGAGAGAGGGAGAGAGAGAGAGAGGAGAGAGAGAGGGAGAGGGAGAGGGAGAGNCUCUCCCUCUCCCUCUCCCUCUCUCUCUCCUCUCUCUCUCUCUCCCUCUCUCCCUCU
rnacentral:miRNA from 1 species